GUAUCCUUUUGCUUCUCCUAUGUCGUGCUUGGUUAAAGAAAGACAUUGCAUCCACAAUCCAUACAUACAAACCUAGCACACUCUCAUAUUCAGCUGAUCUAUUUACUUGGAUAUAGCUGUCGCGGACCUUUUCCUUAAAACCAUGUUGAAAAAUGUUUGGUAAAAUUUAAAGUAAAUUAUUUAACUCAUAAGCAUGAUUAUUUUUUUAAAUGAUUUUUGUAAUUUUUGUUAGCAACAUUGUUGUGGAAUGUAUUUGGUUGUUUGUCUUACAUUACAUAUCAUGGUUCUAAAUUGCCGUCCAAAACCAUAACCGCAAUUGGUUGCAUCAAUUUCAUUUUUUCACAGUUUCCCACAAUGUCAAGAUUGCAAUGAAACCGCAACCACGAUUUAAUGUUACAUAGGUUGUAUUUUCAUGUUUGAUAAGUUAAUUGAUAUGCAUACCUUGCACACACUUGUUUUGUGUUUACUUGUUCACUUGUUUGUUAUCAUCAUACAUUCUUUAUUCAGAGUCUUUUAGCCUGUGUCUAUGUAUAAUGCAUAAAGAUAUCUCUAAUGACCUGAAUUGCUCUCAUGGGAUUUUCCUGCACACUUGAUGCUCACUUGAUGUAUCCUUAUAAGACCAGAGAUGAAUGACUCUCUCUUGUCAAUCAGGAUAAUUUAGUGUGGAGGUGGAUUUUGCAUGAGAAUCGUCUUGAUGAAAUUUCAAGAGAGGCAUUUGAUUCAUACUUUGGUGUCAGUGUCCCCUGAAAAUCUUGUCACUGCUACUGUUCAUUGUCUUGAUGUUGAGAAACUGAAUCAAAUGUAUGAAGGAAGGAUUCUGAGUACAGCUAUGAAAUACUUUUGGAUUAGUGGGCUACAAGUGGAUGUUGAGCUGAAAUCUCCCUUUUCAUGUUAGAUGGAAGGAAAUUCCAGUUAAGUGGAGAAAGAAUUAACUUAUUGGGGAACCAAUAUUAUAUGGUCUUUAAACCAAUAUCAAUGUCAUGAUAAGCCUCUGGCUCUUUGGGACAUAAGUGCAGCAUGAUCAGCAUUCAAGGAUAACAAUUUAAGAUAUGCAGAACAUUUACUUGUUAAGUGGAUCUCAUCAUCUUUUCUACAAUUAGAUAUGGACCUUUCUCCUGAAAAAGUUAUCAUUUUUCUCUUCAAGCUUUUCAGACAUUCCUUCUCGACUACUAUACAUAUGCUGAUCGCUGAUCAAAUAAUUGGAAUACACAACAAGUUUCAAAAGCUGGAAGAGGUAUGUCCUGCCAUGGAAAAACAAAUUACUAAGUGGACAAAAGUUCUUCUAAGUAGUGAAAGGCUUCUGGGUUUUAGUUGUUCUGCUUUCCGAACUAGCAUGUUCAAUCCAGGAACAAAUUCCAAAUCUGGUCGUUGGUAUCCUGUUGGACUAGCACAGAUGGAACAAUGGAUUGCUUUGCUUUAGAUCAGGAACAUAUACAUGACCAGUUAAAAGUCAUUGCAUCAGAAGUUAAGCAUGAGAAAAGGUUUCUGAGCAGUAGAUGAUCAGCAGUGGAGACAUGUAGUUUUUGUUCAGCAUCUGUUCCAUUUGAAUCCCCUGAAGUUGGUUUCUGCCAAGGUGAAAAUUCUACUAGUGGUGAUGUUAAGAAUCACAGGUUAUUGAACCAUUGGUUUCAUUGAAAAUAUUUUAAAGGUUCAUUAUUAUUAGUGUGUAGAUAUUAGACGACAAAUGUAGCCCAUGCAGCAUAUUCUCAAUGUUAUUCAGAGGGUUAAAAGAGUGAUCUUUUAGUUUGCCAUGCAAACUCCUUUUGCUUAUGUGCUAUGAACCCUUUGGUAACCACCAGCCAGAUACUGUUUGAAUCUUGACUUGAGCCAAAAAAAAUCAUAAUCACACUUUUAAAAGGUA